rnacentral:rRNA from 1 species
UGGGGAAUCUUAGACAAUGGGGGAAACCCUGAUCUAGCCAUGCCGCGUGAGUGAUGAAGGCCCUAGGGUCGUAAAGCUCUUUCGCCAGGGAUGAUAAUGACAGUACCUGGUAAAGAAACCCCGGCUAACUCCGUGCCAGCAGCCGCGGUAAUACGGAGGGGGUUAGCGUUGUUCGGAAUUACUGGGCGUAAAGCGCGCGUAGGCGGACUAGAAAGUUAGGGGUGAAAUCCCGGGGCUCAACCCCGGAACUGCCUCUAAAACUCCUAGUCUAGAGUUCGAGAGAGGUGAGUGGAAUUCCGAGUGUAGAGGUGAAAUUCGUAGAUAUUCGGAGGAACACCAGUGGCGAAGGCGGCUCACUGGCUCGAUACUGACGCUGAGGUGCGAAAGUGUGGGGAGCAAACAGGAUUAGAUACCCCCGUAGUCC